AGACCAUAGUGAGGGCAUCUUUGUACCAGCGACAUGAAUCACUCCCAAGCUUCAUGAAAACUUUCUCCUUCUAAUUGCUUAAACGUGGCAAUUUCCAUCCUUAGUUA
rnacentral:snoRNA from 1 species